ensembl:lncRNA
UUUUUUUUUUUUUUAAUAGCAACCAUUACAGUGCAAGGUUUUAAAAGUUAUUAUUACAGUAAAAGGUGUGUAUCUGGUUUUACAGUAACUGUAGCACUGAUUUUUUGUUAUGUAUAGUAGGUCCCUGAUGUAAAGUGUAUGCACCAGUUUGAGAGAAAACCCCGCACAAUAACGGCUCUUUAGCUUUAAAUACAUUUUUCUUUUUUUUUAAACAGAUACAAAAUAACACAUCAAGUUCACAAUUUCACAAGCACGGACUUUUGCCUUAAUAAAAAGCAUGAAAACUUGGUUGAAACCCCAACAUUUAAAGAAAUGUAAAAACUAUUCAAUGAGGGACACGAGUGUGUGUUUGAGUCAUGGCUUUCUGCCACCCCAGCUCCUGGAUGAGUCUGUGCUGUCCAAACUUCUGCUUCUUGCUCACCCACCAGUUAUUUUUGGGCCAGGUGAAGUGGUGUUCAGCUUCCCACAGCUGGGAUUUGAGUUUGUGCCUUUAACAUUAUCAACAAUCUAUUUUUCGGGUGGAUGAGUUCUCAUAAUGAAGGAUCAUCCACAGAGGAUCUGUGACUCCAGGCCACAGGUUCAUUUGGAGGGGGCUCUUUUUUGGAAUGAUCAGGAUGAGAUGCAAAUGACUGCAGCCCUGCAAUAAUCCUUGGAAACUGGUUGGAGAAGAUCUCUAUGAUCAUCAAAUCCAACCAUAAACCCAGCACCAUAUUCACCAUCAAACCAUGUCCUCAAGUACCACAUCCACUCCAGUCUCACUGCACCCAACUUUGACUUUUCUGAGUUAAAGAAACUUUAGAAUCAUAGAAUCACAGAAUAUCCUGAGCUGGGAGGAACCCACAAGGAUGAUCAAAGUCCAGCUCCUGGCCCUGCACAGGACAGUUCCAAGAAUCCCAACCUGUGCCUGAAGCAUCCUGGUAACUGGCUAAUUUAGUCAAACACAUUGAUUUUACUUCACAACCAACCUGAAUUGUCUGAAAUCAAGAAAAGAGUAGUCAGAAAAUAGCCAGGAAAAUCUGAUGCUGCAGUUUAAAUCCCAGCUCCAAGAAGUGGGAUCCAGCUGACUUCAUAACCACCAAAAAUACAGGCUUCCAACAGAAAUGUUCCUGUCUCUCAACAGUGUUUCAGGAAUUUAUUUAGUGCAUGAUUUUGCAAUUUCUACCUUCUCAAGUUGCCUUUACUCAGGUAAAUAAUAUGUUUUUCAUCUGAGUUAUUGAAAAACACAGAAAAGUUAUGUGGAAUUCCUCUCCAAAGCUGCACAUCUCUUUCCACUGAUGGUAGAGGAAGCAGAUGCAAAGAACUCAGACCAGACUCUUUCAGGGAGAGAAAGUCAAGUGGGAUUAAUCCCUCUUUUGACUUGUCUCCCCACUCCAAAUGGGUGGGUAAGUAAAUAUGAAAUACCCAGGUGGGAAAGGCUGCAGAACUACUUAAAAGGAAUAUCUUAUACAAAAAACACCAAACAUAUUUUGAGAAUUGCAUCUGCAAUCCUUAGCAAAAUGCAGUUCCAGCCAGAGGCUGGAGGAGGUUUGAGGAACAUUGUGAGCUCAAAGGAGAUAAGGACAAAUGUUUUAUCAAAGUUCUUCCAUCUCUGCCCUCCAUUAGAUUUUAUUCUGGACAUUUGAGGGACUUUUAGAAGCAGCAGGAGUCCAACACAAGAAGGGAUGCCCUUGGUUGUGUCAGUCACUAUGUUUUAGUUCUGUCAGACACUACAUCCUCCCAGCAGAUGUCUGCAGUCAGCUCUACCACAGCCCCGCAGUUCCUCCUUGCCAAUUCUGUCCAUGUAGGAAUCCCUCCUUUCCCACAUCACACCUGCACCUUGUCCUGAGGAGCUUUCCUCAUGGCAAACCUGCACCUGGGUAUCUUAAUUUUUAAACACUACCUGUUUUUUGAGGAGAGCCUAGCUCUGCAGGUGGGAUCUACCCAGCACUGGGGGAGCUUGUAGCAGUACAGCUCAUGGAAAAGUAAAAAGCUUGACAAAACCCCUGGUCAGGAAGAAUGAAUCUCUUUAAAUAGGAAAGGAUCUAGGAUUAGACACAUUCUCAUCACAGCGUUCCUCUGCCCUAGUCUUUAAUUAACAAGAUGUUCCUCUGGAAGCUUGAUGGGCCAGUGGAAGAGCAAUCCAAGCAUGGAGGCCUGUGGCAAGCCAAGAAUCCAAGUAUGGAGGCCUGUGGUGUUGUGUGAUGCCCCACAGCAGGAGGGAUUUAUUUAUGAUCAUUUUUCUAAAGCAGAAAUCCCUUUAACAGACUAAUUAAACAAAAAAACCCUGCAACCUUGUUAUAGGAAAAGCACUGCUCCUCCCAAACUCAGAGCAACAAGGCAGUGAAGCACAAGCCUAACUACAAAAGGCUGAAAAGUCAGAAAUUCCAUGAAAACUCCAUGGCCUGCCCAGAAAAUACUUGGGCAAUUAAAGCACAAGCUUUCAAGAUGGAAAAGAAGUGGUGGAAAUCAGAUAAGCCAAGUUGCUUCUAUCAAACUAUGUCAAGGUUUGGGAUCUGAGUCUGAGAGGCUUUUUGAGAGGGGUAGGCUUUGUUAUUCCAAAAAAUAAUGAAGAUCUCUACUUUUUACAGUGAUUUUGCCCCUUGGUGUUAAUGUCUGAAACUUCUCUGAUGAAUUGCAGAUGGAAGAAGGACAGCAGGAAUGUUGCCUCAUUCCUACACAAAGGAAUUUGCUUCAUGAGUAUUGAAAAUGGCCUGUGAUCUCUACAUUGUGUUAGAGGAUCACCCCUGUCUCCUUCUGUAGUCAGUGGAAGGAAAUUGGCAUUUCCAGAGCCUGAUUGAUCUCUCCUGCUUUAGAUAUCUCUGCUAGGAGGGGUGAGUGUUCUUCUCCAAAGAUCAAAGACAAAGUUGAGCAGCACUAGUUUGAGUUUGGGGAGUUAAAUUUAGUUAUCUAAGCCAGAUGAAGUGAAUUUUACCAGCAAUAUUAAAUCUUAAACGUUUGUAGAGGUUUGGAUUUUUUAAAGUACUGACACAUUUCCAUGGUGGCUUAUUCCAUCCUGAAUUUAUUAAUCCACAUUGGAGCAACAGCCAUCUUAAAUUUUUGCUCCUUCAUUUCAUGCCAAGGCAACAAGCUCCUUUUCCCCAGUGUUAUCAGCAUAGUUCCUCUCAUCCCACUGCACCUGUAAUUGUUUUCCCACUUGGGUCUCCCAUGUGCAGCCCUGGCCAGUGGCUUUGGGAGCUGAACACCUCUUGUUCUUUGAGUCAUGCAACAGCUGCUGGAGCAUCCCACAGAGUCCAGAUUCCAGAGAGAUGUGCACAGAGGAAUCAGCAGGAUUCUGUGCUUUUUGGAACACGAAGAAUGUCUCAGCAUUGGCUCAUUGACAUUAAUGCUCUAAAAUCUCUUUGGAAGGUGAAAACAAAUGAUGCCACUUGUUCUGCCAGAGAAAAGGUGUCAGCUUUGUGCAAGAGUUGUGGAUACACUGAAGGAUUCCUUCUUCAAAAAUGAGGUACCAGACAUGGCAGUUCAAGCCUUUGAAUUGUUUAUACCUGUUGCAAUAAAAAUCUAGAAGAGGAGCUGCAGGACCUUGCAGUGUCCCUUUGGAGGAGCUUGGCAAGCUGAUCUUGUUCAAUUCUGAAUUCCCAAAAUGAGCAAAAUUGGUUGUGGCCAAAUCUGGACAGAAGAGCAAGACUGAAAGCAGCUUGAGAUUUUCAGCAGGUGAUACUUCUCUGCUGAAACCCUGUGCUGGGGAAGAAUAUGAAAAUGAGGUUGUUUGGGAUGAAAAUUAGAUUGUUUGGAAGUGCUGCUGUAUAAUUACAGUGUUAAGUGGCCAUUAAAGUUCCAAUGAGAUCUUUUACAGAAAUCAAACUUUUAAAUAUUAUCAACUUGAGUCACAGUGUUAAAAGUGAGAAGUUCUUUUCCUCCCAUAAAGAUUGGAAGAAACAGGAGAUCACCUUGACAGGUGAGCAGUCUGCAGGGCACACUUUAAAAAUUGAUUUGAUCUUGGGACACUGGGAGCCUCAUUAUCUGAACAAACAGAGAUCGAUGCCUGUGUUUGAGUUGGUAUCUCGGACUCCUUCUAAAGUCAAGACAGAUGCAGACAUUUCUAGGUCAUGAUUCACCUGACAAAGUGCAGGCAGCUGCUUUACAAUGACAGGAAUUGCAUCCAAGAAAGGCACAUUCCUUCCUAAAUGUGGCAUCCAUUCAUUAAUCUACACAAGUGGGACAACGACGCUGUAAAUGUCGACAGUUGGGUGAGUCAAAUUUCACCUUCAUUGGAAAGUUAUUAAUUUUUACUUUUUUUUUUUUUCCUUGUCUCCCUAAGUGGCCAGGAUGUCAUGGAGCAAACACAAAUCUCAAGGACCAAUCCUAUUUCUAGGGGGGGACAGUCAGAAACCUUAAAACUUGAGAGAUUCCGACUGCAGAUCUGUGUGAGACCUUUUCUGGAUAAAGAGCAAGGGGAAGAAAUAAAAUUGUCCUGGAAGAAUGACAGGGAAUUAUUAUCUUGCCUCACACAUCCAUCUAAGGUGCACAGGGGUGACAAAUUGUCAUGGGAAUACAGAUGAAAAAUACCUUAAUAAAGAACAGAAAACAAACCAUGUGCUAAAAACUUCUGUUGUUGCUGCUAAGAGAAAUUUUCAAAGGACAAAAACAGCCGGGUAUUCUCACAGUGUUCUUGGUUUCUACAAUGAUCCCAAAAUCCUAUCAUGAUAACCAGGCCUGGACACACCUCGGAGAGGACAUCUGGCUGCUAAAGCCUGCAAGUUUAAGGGAUUUAUCUUCUGGAACUCCUCAAGUAGCUAAAUAAAUUAUAAAAUAGGCAUGGGAUGUAAAACCAACCAGAUUUCAAUCAUUGUUUAAAUAUUUCCAGACUAUACCAAAUGAGAAAUGAGCGCAGAAUAGUUUCUUUAAAUACCUGGUAUAGUUUCUAAUACCAGAUUGAUUCCAACUCUUUUUGCUUCCUGCAAACCAGGCACUUCUUUUCCUGAGAAAAGAACUGAGCUGUUCAUAUAAAGUGUUACAGGUGAUCUCUGCUGUUUGAAUUACCAAAAUGUGGCUGAUGCAGGUUGCUCUUGUCAUAAGAAGAUGCAAAGACAUUUGUUUUUUCUGAUAAAAGUCACCUUUUUUAGGAAAAUAACCCUAAUAUUGCAAAAGCAUCUGAUGCACUGAACACGGGAGCUGAUGGAGUCAGCAUAGAAGUGAUCCAGAGGGUUGUGCAGCCAAAUCUGAUUUACCAAAUCUGUGGACUUUUAGCCCAAUCUGAAGUUGCAAACACCUCCCCAGGCCUCAGCUGAUGCAAAUUCUUUCAGUGCCCUUGGCUGUGAGUUUUUAGAAAGCCCAAGGCUGAGCUCUUAGAGUGAGCAUCAGAGCUGGGGAAUCAGAUCCCCCAACAGAUUUGGGGACGAAAACGAAGAAUGAUAUCUUAAGUCAGUUUUGGGCUGUGGGAAAGCCAGAAAAAAAUAGCCAGAAAAACUCCCCCUAGCCUGAAAAAUAAGGAAUUAUUGCAGGAAAAUGCAGCCAGCUCUGAAGGUGCUGAAUUCUGUAGAAAUAUCUCACUUAUCCAAGGGAAAUGGACAUAAACACAGCGCUAUUAAAACUCAGGCAGCACUGUGGACUCGUUAUUUUUAAAAAAAAAGCAAAUUUAAUAAGGCCAUAUGCCAUCCUUGAGGCUCUGCUGGCUGUAUAACAAAGGGAAGGCAUGGACCAAAAAAAAUCUGGGCUCUUCCUGGAACAUUCUGAUCCCCUCAGCUCCCACGGAAAGCAGGGAUGGUAUUUUGGGACUUAAUAAGAAACCUUUGGCACCUUGAAAAGUUGAAGCCUCUUGCUUUGGUGUGGGGUAAGAACAAGGUGCAAGUCAGAAGGAUGAAAUGAGUCACAAAAGUUUGUUAACAAUAGAAUGACAACACUGGGAUAAAAUCCAUUUUUAGGCAUUUCCGAACAUUUUCCAGUCACGUUUUAGGAGCUGGCAUAGUCUGAGGUAAUACAAGAGGCAUGGUUUGAAAGGGGAGGUAUUUUAAUAUUAAAAUAUAUAUUUCUUGUAAAAGAUAUGACCUCUCCCCCAAACCUUGGCUCUCUCUUAUUAAGCAGGAACUUGUUUUCAGGUUCAGUCCUAUAUCACCUCCUCUUGACUUUUGCACUGUUGCUUGUCAUGACAUUGAACCAAAAGCUGAUAAGGUUUGUAGUGACUUUAUCCAUGAUAAAUGAAAAAACCACUGUGACAGUGGGUCUGUCACCCUGUGAAAGUGUCCCUGAGCCUUCACAAAAGAGUGCCCACAACCAAAGUUGUCUCCAGACCUGCUACUAAAUCCUCAUGUGGGGGAAUCUCUGGGUCAAUAUUCACUAACUGAAGUCCAAACUGUGCCAAGAACUGAAAAACUUUUGACAACUGAGUGCCAGAUCUUGCUCUGUGUAAUUUAUUAGUGUGAGUGGAGACAAGGAAUGCAACAGGAAUGGGAGAAUAAUCUGUGUGCCUUAUUAAAUUUAGAGUUUUUGCCACUUCAAAGCACAUCCAAGAUGUCGCUCUGCCCCUCAUCCUGCAUCUCAGGGAUGAUGAAGAAGAGACCCCAAGCAGUUCCACCAGGGAAGGAGUUUGGUUGCUCAUCUUGAAGACUGAACUUGGCUGGGCAGUGAAACACUCAUCUGGUGCUCAGGAAGAGCUGUACCAAAUUCCCUGCCAAGUGAUGUCAUUGGGGCUGAGCUAAUCAUCCAAAGAGGGACUGGCACCGAAGAGCCGAGUGUCCUCACAGCCAAUGCCAUUAACACCUCACAGAAGUAACUCAGGGUGCAUAUUCAAGAGGAGCCAGCUUCGGAGAUGGGGCAGGCCCCCUGAGGAGGAGGAAGAUCAUCCUUUCAGCUUCUACCAGCCUUACACCUCCUCCUGGCAUACCUAGUCCAGGUCAGGCAGGACUGUGAUGGUGUGACUGCUCUGGUGUGCAGGCUAGCUCUCCUCAGGUUCAAGAUGAUCCAUCACUUUUUUGAGCAAUUAGCUUUUCCUGACAGGAAAAUGAACAUAAUUCACAGUUGCCCCAUCAGGCAUUUUGUCCUUAGCCUCCAUUGCUGAGUCUAUAUUUCAGAGGAGAAUUUCACUGUGCUAAAAUUGCAGCACUUUUUCCAUGUAUUUUAAGCUCUGGUAUCUUUUGUAGGAUCUUCUGAUGGUCUGUCCUUCCUCAUGAGAGCCUGGGCAUGUCCUGAUGCCCAACCCUACAGCCAUGAAGGGACGCUCAAACCAUAGUUUCACCCUCAUGCCUUGGACAAAACUCUGUUUCUCGACUUGAGCUGAGGAGUGAGUGAGCCAAAUCUGACUUUGUGCAGGGCCUUGUGCCUCCAAACCUCAGGAGUAACAGAGAGAAAGUAAAACUGAGUCCUACAGCUUUUCUCACUGCUCUGCUGCCUAAAGGAUCUCAGGAAAAACCUUGAUCCAAAUCAAAUGAGUCUUGGUUUCUGUAAAAGCUCCAUGGUCAGAACCUGCUCCACAUUUCACCCAAACCUUCUCUUUAGUAGGUGAGACAGCAGAAGACAUUCCAAGUGCUGUUAUAUCCACUUGCUAUAUCCCAUCUGUCAUGCAACAGGCAACACAGAGGCAAUUCCUGCUCAAACAGCACACCCUGCUCACUGAUGGAUGCUCUGCUCUAGGCCAGGACAAAAGCUGGGUCAGCUCCAGGGAAGCUGGUAAAGCUUUCCCACAUUUAGCAAGGUGGAAUAAGAGGAGAAAUUUGCUCAGGAGCCACCAUCCAAAACAAAAGGGAUCUUUAUAGAAAUGGACAGUCCUGAAACAUGGAAAGGAGCAGAGAGCCCAGCAGUGAGCAUGAAGCUCCUCCACAUAGGUGGAAGAGACACAGGAAAGUUCUCAAAAAAGCAAAGCUGAUGUUCCAGAAGGACCUAAAACCUCAGAGUUGUCAUUAGGAAAUCAUUGCAAUAUAAGCACGGUAACAAACCAACCA